AACCAUUCUCACCUGCGGCUAGACCUGCGGAAGGAUCAUUACAGAGUUGCAAAACUCCCUAAACCAUUGUGAACGUUACCUAAACCGUUGCUUCGGCGGGCGGCCCGGGUCCUUCCCGGCGCCCCUCGGCCCUCGCGGGCGCCCGCCGGAGGUAAACCAAACUAUUGCAUUGUAUGGCCUCUCUGAGUCUUCUGUACUGAAUAAGUCAAAACUUUUAACAAUGGAUCUCAGAUCGGAAGA
rnacentral:misc_RNA from 1 species